rnacentral:rRNA from 1 species
GGCAGCCGCCGCGGUAACACCGGCGGCCCGAGUGGUGAUCGUGAUUAUUGGGUCUAAAGGGUCCGUAGCCGGUUUGGUCAGUCCUCCGGGAAAUCUGAUAGCUCAACUAUUAGGCUUUCGGGGGAUACUGCCAGACUUGGAACCGGGAGAGGUAAGAGGUACUACAGGGUAGGAGUGAAAUCUUGUAAUCCCUGUGGGACCACCUGUGGCGAAGGCGUCUUACCAGAACGGGUUCGACGGUGAGGGACGAAAGCUGGGGGCACGAACCGGAUUAGAUACCCGGGUAGUCCCAGCCGUAAACGAUGCUCGCUAGGUGUCGGGCAUGGCGCGACCGUGUCUGGUGCCGCAGGGAAGCCGUGAAGCGAGCCACCUGGGAAGUACGGCCGCAAGGCUGAAACUUAAAGGAAUUGGCGGGGGAGCACAACAACGGGUGGAGCCUGCGGUUUAAUUGGACUCAACGCCGGACAACUCACCGGGGGCGACAGCAAUAUGUAGGCCAAGCUGAAGACUUUGCCUGAAUCGCUGAGAAGAGGUGCAUGG